rnacentral:rRNA from 1 species
GACAGAGGGUGCAAACGUUGCUCGGAAUCACUGGGCGUAAAGGGCGUGUAGGCGGGAAGGAAAGUCGGGCGUGAAAUCCCUGGGCUCAACCCAGGAACUGCAUUCGAAACUUCUUUUCUUGAGUGCCGGAGAGGAAAGCGGAAUUCCUGGUGUAGAGGUGAAAUUCGUAGAUAUCAGGAGGAACACCAGUGGCGAAGGCGGCUUUCUGGACGGUAACUGACGCUGAGACGCGAAAGCGUGGGGAGCAAACAGG